rnacentral:rRNA from 1 species
UACAGAGGGGGCAAGCGUUGUUCGGAAUUACUGGGCGUAAAGGGCGCGUAGGCGGCCUGCUAAGUCGAACGUGAAAUCCCUGGGCUCAACCCAGGAACUGCGUCCGAAUACUGGUUGGCUUGAAUCCGGGAGAGGGACGUGGAAUUCCAGGUGUAGCGGUGAAAUGCGUAGAUAUCUGGAGGAACACCGGUGGCGAAGGCGGCUCGCUGGGCCGUUGCUGACGCUGAGGCGCGAAAGCGUGGGGAGCAAACAGGG